rnacentral:rRNA from 1 species
GCGUAAAGAGCUCGUAGGUGGUUUGUCGCGUUGUUCGUGAAAUCUCACGGCUUAACUGUGAGCGUGCGGGCGAUACGGGCAGACUAGAGUACUGCAGGGGAGACUGGAAUUCCUGGUGUAGCGGUGGAAUGCGCAGAUAUCAGGAGGAACACCGGUGGCGAAGGCGGGUCUCUGGGCAGUAACUGACGCUGAGGAGCGAAAGCGUGGGGAGCGAACAGGAUUAGAUACCCUGGUAGUCCACGCCGUAAACGGUGGGUACUAGGUGUGGGUUUCCUUCCUUGGGAUCCGUGCCGUAGCUAACGCAUUAAGUACCCCGCCUGGGGAGUACGGCCGCAAGGCUAAAACCCAAAGGAAUUGACGGGGGCCCGCACAAGCGGCGGAGCAUGUGGAUUAAUUCGAUGCAACGCGAAGAACCUUACCUGGGUUUGACAUGCACAGGACGCGUCUAGAGAUAGGCGUUCCCUUGUGGCCUGUGUGCAGGUGGUGCAUGGCUGUCGUCAGCUCGUGUCGUGAGAUGUUGGGUUAAGUCCCGCAACGAGCGCAACCCUUGUCUCAUGUUGCUAGCGGGUAAUGCCGGGGACUCGUGAGAGACUGCCGGGGUCAACUCGGAGGAAGGUGGGGAUGACGUCAAGUCAUCAUGCCCCUUAUGUCCAGGGCUUCACACAUGCUACAAUGGCCGGUACAAAGGGCUGCGAUGCCGUAAGGUUAAGCGAAUCCUUUUAAAGCCGGUCUCAGUUCGGAUUGGGGUCUGCAACUCGACCCCAUGAAGU